UACGGAGGGGGCGAGCGUUGUCCGGAAUCACUGGGCGUAAAGGGCGCGUAGGCGGCUCAUGAAGGCUGUGGUGAAAGUCCGGGGCUCAACCUCGGAUCGGCCGUGGCGACUCGUGGGCUGGAGCACUGUAGAGGCGGGUGGAAUUCCGGGUGUAGCGGUGGAAUGCGUAGAGAUCCGGAAGAACACCAGUGGCGAAGGCGGCCCGCUGGGCAGUGGCUGACGCUGAAGCGCGACAGCGUGGGGAGCAAACAGG
rnacentral:rRNA from 1 species